AACGAACGCUGGCGGCAGGCCUAACACAUGCAAGUCGAACGCUCCGCAAGGAGAGUGGCAGACGGGUGAGUAACACGUGGGAAUCUUCCUGUUGGUUCGGAAUAGCUCAGGGAAACUUGGGGUAAUACCGGAUAAGCCCGAGAGGGGAAAGAUUUAUCGCCGACAGAUGAGCCCGCGUCUGAUUAGCUAGUUGGUGAGGUAAUGGCUCACCAAGGCGACGAUCAGUAGCNGGUCUGAGAGGAUGACCAGCCACACUGGGACUGAGACACGGCCCAGACUCCUACGGGAGGCAGCAGUGGGGAAUAUUGGACAAUGGGCGCAAGCCUGAUCCAGCCAUGCCGCGUGAGUGACGAAGGUCUUCGGAUUGUAAAGCUCUUUUGCCAGGGACGAUAAUGACGGUACCUGGAGAAUAAGCCCCGGCUAACUUCGUGCCAGCCGCCGCCGUAAC
rnacentral:rRNA from 1 species